GCUGAAGGCCUGCCUCGUGGGGGGUAAGUCGGCGCAGGCCUUGAGGCUCUUCGCCGAUGCGCGCGACCGGGGCGCCCAGCUGAACGCCGCCGUUUACAGA
rnacentral:ribozyme from 1 species